ensembl:lncRNA
CCUGACUAUCCAGUUGUGGUCAGAGAGAAGAUAGCACCGUCAGAGUUCCAGUUAUCUCAUUUUUUCAGUGACUGUACACUAGCUGGUACUAUUUAUCAAAGUGGCAAAAUCCGAAGCAACACAGUAAAUUGGUUUCAACAUGCAGGUCAAUCAAACGCAGCACUAUUCAGCUUCAGUAUCACAAAAUGAUUGUAAUUAUAAUCACAGCUGACAAACAUUUCUCCAUCUGUGUGUGCUAACGUCAUAAUAAUUACCCUUGUCAUGCUAAAUGUGUAAUUUGGCAACACAAAUCACGGCUUUUACCUCUGCUGACAGCUAAAAUGAUAAAGAUUCAGUAAAAGCAUGGCAGAGCACCUUCCAGUUCACUUCCACUAUUUGUAUAGAAAGACUCCCCCAUCCGACAACAGAGACACAAGAAACUCCUUUCUUUUCACUAAACUCUCUGUUCUCAGAAAUCAUAUCAAAAAGCUUCUCUCGCAGUGCAGGCCCUCCAGGGUUCUGAUGUCACUUCCACUGUAACACUCCGCUGAUGACUGACAUAUGCUUCACAUGAGUGUGAAGAGAAAAAAAAAAGGAAAACAAAAAAAUCCUACACGUUACACACACACCCUUUUUGUUUUAGACGACAUUUCCGACUUUACGCUAACUUGUUUUGUCAAAACAAUUCCCGAAGAAAUUAAACGACACAUUACUCAAGUCAAACCUGAAACCUAGAUCUGCCACAACAAACCUAAUCCACUUUGAGCAGCCUCUGUGUUGUGGUGUCCUCGGAGUGUGUGUGUUUCUCUUGAAACAUGACUUAGGUUUCAGGAAGUUUUAGGCCUGGAGUCAGUCAUCAAGGUUUGCGGUGGUGGUGGUGGUUGGGGGGGGCACAAAAACAUGGCCUCUGACGGCACUGAUAAUGAUCAUGAGCAAGUCCCUUUGAAGAACUUUCACUGAGUGUGAACGAGAUGUAAAAUUUGUGAAUGAAUUACCAAAAACAGGGGGCAUGUGAGUGGAAGGAGCAAAAUAUACAUUAAAUGUUUUCUUUUAUACUCAAAAUUAAAAUAAUACACCCCCACCUGCCCCAAAAAUAAUACUAAUA